AUGUUCUUAUGUACAAGACCUCUACUUUGGCUUCUUUUAAUUCUCUUCAUAUUAGGUCAUUCUCAUGCCUCAAGAACCACUACUAAUGUCUUCAAAGUGAAUCCCAAAUCUCAACACCAAGGUAACUUUUUUGGAUCCUUACCUAAAAGGAUGCACAUACCAUACUCAACUCCUUCAAGGAAACACAAUGACAUUGGAUUAAGAAGUUGGAGAUCACCAUGA